GAGUAGGAAGAAGAUUUAGAGAAUUUAGCUAACUUAGCAACUUUGUGUCUGCAGUGCUGAGGCCCAUGCUUCAUGGCAGAGCUCACCCCAUCAAGCCUGAGAGAUCUGCAGGAAAACCAGGAUUCCCCAUGUAGAAUAUGGACUCAGAAGGCACCAUCGUGUAGAGGAGAUGGCAUCCUCCUCACCAAUAUCCACUCACCCAGAAGGAACAAUGAGACAUGCUCUACAAGGUAUGUUUUCUCCAUGCAUCUCUGAAGAUUCAGCAAUUACAUAAAAAAAAUUAAAAAAAAAUCCUUAUAAACUUCUUUCUCAAUGAGCAGAAGGAAGACAGCCUGUGCCUGCUUCUUCUCUCUACUGCUCCUCAGCAUUUGUUUAGGUAAUGACUUGUAAUUGCACAUGGCUACAGAUCUGUCAUGCCACAGG